AUUGAACGCUGGCGGCAUGGCUAAAACAUGCAAGUCGAACGCGAACGCACUUCGGUGCAAGUAGAGUGGCGAAAGGGCGAGGAAUAACUACCUAACGUGCCUUCAGGUAAGGGAUAGCUCAUGGAAACGUGUGGUAAUACCUUAUAAUCUCAUUGCUUCAUAUGGAGCUUUGAGCAAAGGCUUGCUGCCUGAAGAUCGGGGUAGUUCCUAUCAGCUUGUUGGUGAGGUAACGGCUCACCAAGGCGAAGACGGGUAGCGGGUGUGAGAGCAUGACCCGCCGCAUCGGGACUGAGACACUGCCCGGACUCCUACGGGAGGCUGCAGUAACGAAUAUUCCGCAAUGCGCGAAAGCGUGACGGAGCAAUGCCGCGUGUGGGAUGAAGCAUCUAGGUGUGUAAACCACUGUCAGGGUUUAGGAAACAAAUGACCAGACCCAAAGGAAGAGCCGGCUAACUCUGUGCCAGCCGCCGCCGUAACAC
rnacentral:rRNA from 1 species